rnacentral:rRNA from 1 species
UACAGAGGUCUCGAGCGUUGUUCGGAUUCAUUGGGCGUAAAGGGUGCGUAGGUGGCGCUGUAAGUCGGGUGUGAAAUCCUGAGGCUUAACCUCGGAACUGCAUUCGAUACUGCGGCGCUUGAGGACUGGAGAGGAGACUGGAAUUCAUGGUGUAGCAGUGAAAUGCGUAGAGAUCGGGAGGAACACCUGUGGCGAAGGCGGCCGACUGGGCCGACCCUGACGCUGAGGCGCGAAGGCGUGGGGAGCGAACGGG